rnacentral:rRNA from 1 species
AACGAACGCUGGCGGCGUGCCUAACACAUGCAAGUCGAACGAGAAAGGGGCUUCGGCUCCGAGUAAAGUGGCGCACGGGUGAGUAACACGUGGGUAACCUGCCUCUAAGAUUGGGAUAACUCGUCGAAAGAUGAGCUAAUACCGAAUAAGACCACAGUUCCCGCGGGAACAGGGGUCAAAGGUAGCCUCUGCUUGCAAGCUAUCACUUAGAGAUGGGCCUGCGCACCAUUAGCUAGUUGGUAGGGUAACGGCCUACCAAGGCAAAGAUGGUUAGCUGGUCUGAGAGGAUGAUCAGCCAAACUGGAACUGAGACACGGUCCAGACUCCUACGGGAGGCAGCAGUGGGGAAUAUUGCGCAAUGGGCGAAAGCUUGACGCAGCAACGCCGCGUGAGUGAUGAAGGCCUUCGGGUCGUAAAGCUCUGUCGGGAGGAACGAAUGCUCCUGAGGUUAACAGCCUCGGGAGGUGACGGUACCUUCAAAGGAAGCACCGGCUAACUCUGUG